UCGGGAAUUUUGGGCAAUGGGCGAAAGCCUGACCCAGCAACGCCGCGUGAAGGAUGAAGUAUUUCGGUAUGUAAACUUCGAAAGAAUAGGAAGAAUAAAUGACGGUACUAUUUGUAAGGUCCGGCUAACUACGUGCCAGCAGCCGCGGUAAUACGUAGGGACCAAGCGUUGUUCGGAUUUACUGGGCGUAAAGGGCGCGUAGGCGGCAAUUCAAGUCAUCUGUGAAAUCUCCGGGCUUAACUCGGAACGGUCAGAUGAUACUGCUUUGCUAGAGUGCAGAAGGGGCAAUCGGAAUUCUUGGUGUAGCGGUGAAAUGCGUAGAUAUCAAGAGGAACACCUGAGGUGAAGACGGGUUGCUGGGCUGACACUGACGCUGAGGCGCGAAAGCCAGGGGAGCAAACGGGAUUAGAUACCCAAGUAGUCCCUGAGCGGGCUGGCAAGGCGCAU
rnacentral:rRNA from 1 species